rnacentral:pre_miRNA from 1 species
GAGUCUAGUUACUAGGCAGUGUAGUUAGCUGAUUGCGAAUAGUACCAAUCACUAACCACACGGCCAGGUAAAAAGAUUUG